rnacentral:rRNA from 1 species
UAAAAAUUUAAUUUAAAAUAUUUAAGUAGUAUUAGUUAAGGUCUUUAAAUUUAAAAAAUUUGGCGGUAUUUUAGUCUAUUCAGAGGAACCUGUUUUGUAAUCGAUAAUCCACGAUGGAUCUUACUUAAAUUUAUUUUAGUUUAUAUAUCGUCGUUAUAAGAAUAUUUUAUAAGAAUAAUAAUUUUCUUGAUUUUUUAUUUUAAAAUAUAUCAGAUCAAGAUGUAGCUUAUGUUUAAGUUUAUAAUGGGUUACAUUUAUUAUAAUAUUGGAAAUUAAUAUGUAAUUUAUUUUUUAAAAUUGGAUUUGAUAGUAAAUUUAUAUAGAUUAAUAAAUCGAUUAUAGCUCUAAAAUAUGU